UAAAAAUCUAAUGGCUUCGCAAUUUCUGGCAGCAGCGGCGGAGAAAUUUGGACCUGCCAUCAGGCGUCAGGCCCUCACCUUAACCGACGCGGCGGCUUCUAGAAUACGCUAUCUAUUGCAGCAGCGCCAACGGCCUUACCUCAAGCUCGGUGUCAAGGCUCGUGGCUGCAAUGGCUUAUCCUAUACCCUUAAUUACGCUGAUGAGAAAGGGAAAUUUGA
rnacentral:misc_RNA from 1 species